GGGCAGCCAGCCCUAAGCCCAGCCAGGCCAGGCCUGAGGGUUUCACACUGUCUAGGAAGUAGACCCUUUCCAAAGGCAUUCUGCUUGAUAAUAAACUGUUGGGUAUUUUUCCACUUUCAUCUAUUACUAUUAAUUUCCCAUUGCUGGAAGGGGAUUGUUGGAACACUUUAGAAGAGAUGACUUAUUGCAGUGUCCUCUGACAGGCUGCUGACCCAAAGUGCGGCCAUGAUGGAGCAUUUCACGACUGAGGCCCACUCUCUUGUGGCCCAUGAACAGCGCUCCAAAAGGAGGCCCUUGGAGCUCUCCUGGACCACAGCGGCUGCCAGCAGCAACCUCCCUCUGAGUGGGGCCUCUCAGAGCCAGCGAGCUCUCAAGUUUGCUGCACUGGCCGGAUGACUGAUCAACAAUGGAUCCUGGGCCAAUAGCCCCACUCCUGGAGGCUCCAGUUGAACUCCUCUUAAGCUUGAGUGCUGUUAAGCU